AACGCACAUUGCGCCCAUUAGUAUUCUAGUGGGCAUGCCUGUUCGAGCGUCAUUUCAACCCUCAGCGCCCUCCCUUUCGGGGAAGGGACUGGUGUUGGGGCCCUUGCCUCACCGGCAAGCCCCGAAAAGCAGUGGCGGGCCCCCCGGGACUCCGAGCGCAGUAGUUUACACCUCGCUAUGGAGCGCCUGGCGGGCGACACCGGCCGUUAAAAGCGCUGGAGACAGCAUUUUUUACAAGGUUGACCUCGGAUCAGGUAGGAAUACCCGCUGAACUUAA
rnacentral:misc_RNA from 1 species